UGAUAGUACAUUUUCGCCACAGCUUGAAAUGUCUGCAGUCCUGAGGAACUUGACUGAUGAGAUACCUUCUCCAAACUUUGUUUUGUUUGGUUGAUAUUCAACAGUCAUCUACCAGGACAAGAAAUAUAAAGACCCAUCUACCACCAAGGUACAGAGGUUGGGACGACGCAAGAAAAACAUGAAGAAAUGGUGGUAUACCUACGCUGAUGACACCCAAUGGUAUUGUGGCACAUCGUCCCAAUCUAUGCCACACCUUCUACAAUGCCCAGUUCUGGAGGAGCAGUGCUGCCAAGAAGACCUGAUGGCAGCAAACGAGAGAAUUGUGAGACGCGCCCAAUACAUUUGAAUAAGAGUAGAUGAUGGGCUCGAAAGAAGUAGACCAUCUACCAUCCAUCGUGUUAAGACAUGGACCUCCAAUCAAACAGAUCAGCCCCAUUGUGUAGAGUAUGGACUGCAUUGGAGUCUGGAGUUGAUGAAUGAACGCACUGCAGAGUAGCGUUUCAAGGAGUGAGAAAAGGAUCACAAACUUUUACAACUGUCGAACAAUUUGAAAUACAACAUCGAUAACCCUAAGAGCACCUCACGAACUUUGUCUUUUCUCUGUGAAACCAAGAGCUCGCUGAUGAAACCGAGAAUUCGCUCGUUCAAGAACUUUAUUUUAUUGAGGAACACUAUUUCAGACAAUAAGUAUUAUGGGCCCUCCAAAGCCACAGCAGAAUCUAAAGAAAUGAUUAACGUCACGAGCAGCAGACUCGGAAGAAAUGUUUAAGGCCUCAACUGCCGAUUAAAGAAAAGAAGUUGCAAACGCAGGCACCAGUCUACCAUGGACACAAGCACACAGAACUAACUGACAUCACACGAACUCUAAAACAUUGCACUCACCUGAUCAAUGCUUGUUGCAGAACUGUACUGGAUUAGUUGGAUUAGUACCUUAGUUUGUUGAUAAAUAUAUGUUAAAGGUUAAAGGCAGUGGACACUAUUGGUAAUUACUCAAAAUAG